UACAGAGGGGGCAAGCGUUGUCCGGAAUUACUGGGCGUAAAGGGCGCGUAGGCGGCCGCCUAAGUCAGACGUGAAAUCCCCAAGCUUAACUUGGGAACUGCGUCUGAUACUGGGUGGCUUGAGUUCGGGAGAGGAAUGUGGAAUUCCAGGUGUAGCGGUGAAAUGCGUAGAUAUCUGGAGGAACACCGGUGGCGAAGGCGGCAUUCUGGACCGAAACUGACGCUGAGGAGCGAAAGCGUGGGGAGCGAACAGG
rnacentral:rRNA from 1 species